GGCCCCAUGGUGUAAUGGUUAGCACUCUGGACUCUGAAUCCACCGAUCCAAGUUCAAAUCUUGGUGGGACCU
rnacentral:tRNA from 1 species